UCCCUCUUCGUCUAACGGUAGGACAUCGGCCUUUGACGCCGUGAAUCGUGGUUCGAAUCCACGGGAGGGAA
rnacentral:tRNA from 1 species